rnacentral:lncRNA from 1 species
CCGCACUACCAUUACAACCACCACCACCAUCGCGAUUGUCAUUGCCGCUAGCACCAACUACAAACACAACCAACAAAAUCUAUCCCAUAAAAAUAACUAGUACUAUCACAACCUCACUAGUAUCCCCAACAUCACCACCAUCAAACGAGCUCCGCCAACACGACAACCAAAUACCAAGAUCCAAAUCUAUACCAUCACCGUCAUCAUAAUCACCACCACCACCAUCACCAUUUACAUAACACCAACAAUAGUCACCAAUAAUCACCAACAAAAACACCCAACCUCUGGUAAAGGUACAGAUCAAAAGAAGAAACCACAACACAAAUAUCAUAGAGACUGCAGCAUAGUGCUGUGUCACGGCCUAUAAGUGCCGCUUUGAGCUGCUGCAGUAACUUUCACGGGCCACUUCGUGCAGCGGUGGCACGUGACGCUGUCACCGCCUAUAGAUAGAGAAUGGAGAAGGAAAGGAGGGAAGAUAGAGCAUACAACAAUGCCAUUGCAACGGAGCCACUUCGAGCUGCAUGUAGUGAUAGGUACAUGUCACUUCAUGUGGUGGUGGUGCUACGUUGUCGACAAUAGAG